CCACCAGCGGUGACUCACUGUUAGUGCAGCUCUGCCCAAGGAGGGGCUUCCCACUGCUGCCCUCCCGGCUCCGGAGCUCUACUGGAGCCCAAACAGAGCUCUCUGACCCCGUUUUCUGGAUUUCUCUUCUCCCAGGCGCAGAAGAGAGCUAAGAAGGCAAAGUCCUUGAGCUGCUCUUGGCUCCAAAAGGGGGUCAAUAAUCAUCCACGUGUGCACAGCAUUGCAGGAGGAGGCUGUGCAUUGCUAAUUAUCUCUACCUCUUCUUAGCUGGAUAAAAGCUUUGCAGCCAGCGUUCUGAGCGGUGAUGGAAAGAGGAGUCUGCUGAUGACUUUUGGGCUGGCUGAGGGAGUCAGGUAAAGCAUCAUGAAUUUUAG